UUUCUGGUUUUUCUUGUUUUGACCACUACGGCGAUCCGGUUUUUCGGUCAAGAAGGGUUUAUAACCCCUUUACAUACCUUUUUAAAUGCGGAAAGAAUCUAAAGCUUUCAACUUUGAGUAGAAACCUGAUUGUUUAAGAGUUCAGGUAUUCUGAGGUCAAUACCCCAACGAUGAGACUGCACCUUAACCUCUUAAAUGAGAUAAUUGGUGGUGAUUUUGGAUUGGGCUGGAAACAGUUAGGUUUCGG
rnacentral:lncRNA from 1 species